GACGAACGCUGGCGGCGUGCUUAACACAUGCAAGUCGAACGGAAAGGCCCUGCUUUUGUGGGGUGCUCGAGUGGCGAACGGGUGAGUAACACGUGAGUAACCUGCCCUUGACUUUGGGAUAACUUCAGGAAACUGGGGCUAAUACCGGAUAGGAGUUCCUGCUGCAUGGUGGGGGUUGGAAAGUUUCGGCGGUUGGGGAUUGACUCGCGGCUUAUCAGCUUGUUGGUGGGGUAGUGGCUUACCAAGGCUUUGACGGGUAGCCGGCCUGAGAGGGUGACCGGCCACAUUGGGACUGAGAUACGGCCCAGACUCCUACGGGAGGCAGCAGUGGGGAAUAUUGCACAAUGGGCGGAAGCCUGAUGCAGCAACGCCGCGUGCGGGAUGACGGCCUUCGGGUUGUAAACCGCUUUCGCCUGUGACGAAGCGUGAGUGACGGUAAUGGGUAAAGAAGCACCGGCUAACUACGUG
rnacentral:rRNA from 1 species